AGGUCGUUAUGUUCUAUCGCGUAUUUAUUUUGAGUACGAGGAAAGUCUGGACAACACGAAGCAUCACACCACUUAAUAGGUGGGCUCUCGAGAGUGAGACAGAUAGGGUCACAGAGAAUAACCGCCCCGUUUCGACGGGGUAAGGGUGAAAAUGUGUGGUAAGAGCACACAAAUAUUACGAGUAAUCGGAAUAUUGGAUAAACCUUGUGAGUUGAAAUGCCAAAUAAACCUGUGAAUUCCUUUGGAAUUGUAUAUGCUUCUAUAUUGCUUUAAGCACGCAGGAGGGUAGGCAGAUUGAGUUUAUUGGCGACAAUAGACCUAGAUAAAUGAUAGAAGGUUCAUUUAUGAAUUACAGAAUCCGGCUUAUAGUAACGACUUUUUU
rnacentral:RNase_P_RNA from 1 species